rnacentral:misc_RNA from 1 species
AUUGUAGUGUUCCAUCAGUGUCAGGAGGGAGAGAUGAACGCAUUGAACAAAGUGUGGCACGGAUGAUGACUGUCAUUGAUUUUGCUCGCAACAUUCGCGAGCGUCAUAACAAACCUCUUAAAACACCACUUAGGGAGAUGGUAGUUGUUCAUCCUGAUGCAGACUUUCUAGAAGACAUAACCGGGAAACUAAGAGAGUAUGUGUUGGAGGAACUCAAUAUAAAAUCAGUGAUUCCUUGCAAUGAUCCUUUGGCAUAUGCUUCUUUACGUGCUGAGCCGAAUUUCAGUGUAUUAGGUAAACGCUUGGGAAAGGACAUGGGGGCUGUUGCUAAGGAAAUCAAAGCAAUGUCUCAGGCUGACAUCAUAGCUUUUGAAAGAUCUGAAGAAGUUAACUUUUCA